GCGGCCUAUCAGCUUGUUGGUGAGGUAAUGGCUCACCAAGGCGACGACGGGUAGCCGGCCUGAGAGGGCGACCGGCCACACUGGGACUGAGACACGGCCCAGACUCCUACGGGAGACAGCAGUGGGGAAUAUUGGGCAAUGGAGGGAACUCUGACCCAGCGACGCCGCGUGCGGGAUGAAGGCCUUCGGGUUGUAAACCGCUUUCAGCAAGGAAGAAGCGAAAGUGACGGUACUUGCAGAAGAAGCACCGGCUAACUAUGUGCCAGCAGCCGCGGUAAUACAUAGGGUGCAAGCGUUGUCCGGAAUUAUUGGGCGUAAAGAGCUCGUAGGUGGUUCGUCACGUCGGAUGUGAAAAUCUGGGGCUUGACCCCAGACCUGCAUUCGAUACGGGCGAGCUAGAGUGUGGUAGGGGAGACUGGAAUUCCU
rnacentral:rRNA from 1 species